UACAGAGGUCCCAAGCGUUGUUCGGAUUCACUGGGCGUAAAGCGUGCGUAGGCGGUCCGUUAAGUCUGUUGUGAAAUCUCACAGCUUAACUGUGAAACUGCAUUGGAUACUAUCCGGCUCGAGGAAUGGAGGGGAGACUGGAAUACUUGGUGUAGCAGUGAAAUGCGUAGAUAUCAAGUGGAACACCAGUGGCGAAGGAGAGUCUCUGGACAUUUCCUGACGCUGAGGCACGAAAGCCAGGGGAGCAAACGGG
rnacentral:rRNA from 1 species